CCUACGGGAGGCAGCAGUGGGGAAUAUUGCACAAUGGGGGAAACCCUGAUGCAGCGACGCCGCGUGAGUGAAGAAGUAAUUCGUUAUGUAAAGCUCUAUCAGCCGGGAAGAAAAUGACGGUACCUGAGUCAGAAGCCCCGGCUAACUACGUGCCAGCAGCCGCGGUAAUACGUAGGGGGCAAGCGUUAUCCGGAUUUACUGGGUGUAAAGGGAGCGUAGACGGCAGUGCAAGUCUGGAGUGAAAGGCGGGGGCUCAACCCCCGGACUGCUCUGGAAACUGUACGGCUGGAGUGCAGGAGAGGUAAGUGGAAUUCCUAGUGUAGCGGUGAAAUGCGUAGAUAUUAGGAGGAACACCAGUGGCGAAGGCGGCUUACUGGACUGUAACUGACGUUGAGGCUCGAAAGCGUGGGGAGCAAACAGGAUUAGAUACCCCAGUAGUC
rnacentral:rRNA from 1 species